GACAGCUGCGCCGCACAAGGAUACAUUACGGCAGAUUAGGAGUCUUAAGAAUGUGAGGACAGGUAGAGGAUUCUGACCGUAGGAUUCACAGGCAUCCAUCUUUGCAGUUUCUUGGAAUAAAUAUUUCAGUUAGCACCUUCUUCCUCCAGGGUUCUCUGAGCCUCAUCAGCUCGCCAUCGCUCUCGACUCGGUCAUCUCGCUUUGCAUUCUUUUGGUCCUUGCAGUCAUUCUUCUUGCCAAGAGAUUGCUAUCCCUGUUGUGUCCCCCAUUGUUUGUCACGUCCCGUCCUGUGUCACGGGUGUGUGCACAUAUUUGUGCCGGCGACGCUCUGCCCUGCUGCGUAGCCUGGUGCGAUAGGACGAGUCCCGGGGAUUGAACUUUGUAAGGUGGUGUGUAGUCGGACUCUAGAUGGUAUUCCUAGAUUGACACGGGAUGUUUGGAGCUGUGAAGUUAUCCUGCAGCCCUUUGACUUUUGUCUUAACUUCCUUUCAGGUGCUGAUGCAUUAUAUCCUUGGCAGAGCAACCCAUCCCAGGCUCGUGGGUUCCCCUGAGCAGGAAGUCAAGGCAGAUAGCAGCAGUCAAGGCCAAGUGGGCAAGGUAAUUGACUCGGCAUAUGUCCAGCCCCCGUCACACACCGGCCAAUGCACCGGGUUUCCUGCACAUGGGGCCUUGUGGAAGUAUUACAGGACUCUGCGAUGAAGCAUUUAAAUCUUCUAUUUCACCAUCCUAUCUGGGUAGCCAUCAGGACCUGCCAAGGAGUUGUGGUGAGUCGGGGAGGUAGGGAGCAGGAGCGAGGGUCCACUCAGGUUUCAGCAAUGCCAAAUCAAGUUGUCUCUGCUUAAUCUAGGCAGACCCUGCGACAAUGGCGUCAGCCUCCGAGCACGGCCAAAGCGUGCGGCCCGAGGACCUGGGCAUUCUUAAGAAUGUGAGUAAGAUACAACAGCCCAGUGCCAGCAGGGACUGCUCAGAUGGCGAGGCUGCUUUCUUUCGCACCUGACACAGAUUGGCAUGCCCACCUGCCUGAGAGAUGAGUAGAGGGCUGCGACGCGCAGAGGGGAUGAAAGUGGGGUGCUGGCUUGGGACUCCCCGGGAGGGAUUUUUGAGUCCACUUUGGAGACAGGGAUGUGGAAGAAGUGGCCCCUUAGGCCAUGUAAAGGGAAAGUGUCACUUAUGAUCACAGUGCUGAGGUGCUCAGGGCAGAGCAGUCCCGGUGCGUCUCGCGUCACUUGUCCGUUGUGUGUUCUGUGUGUUUGGGUGUCUCAUGUCUUUUAGCAUAGCCCUUUGCGGGGCCUAUCAGAAACCCACGCAUCAUUCUUAGCAUCUGUGAUCUCUGCCUUCCUUGGCCUGGCACCGAUGCCAUAGGACUUUUGACUCGGGAGCUCAGAUAGGCAUCAGAAUCGCAUCUCUCUUUAGAAGCAUCCGGUCAGAUGUCUUUUCAGGUCUUGUACUGAGCUGUAUGGACAGCUGCGCCCCAGAAGGAUCCAUUGUGGCGGAUUAGGAGUCUUAAGAACGUGAGGACAGGUAGAGGAUUCUGACCGUAGGAUUCACAGGCAUCCAUCUUUGCAGUUUCUUGGAAUAAAUAUUUCAGUUAGCACCUUCUUCCUCCAGGGUUCUCUGAGCCUCAUCAGCUCGCCAUCGCUCUCGACUCGGUCAUCUCGCUUUGCAUUCUUUUGGUCCUUGCAGUCAUUCUUCUUGCCAAGAGAUUGCUAUCCCUGUUGUGUCCCC